rnacentral:sRNA from 1 species
UCAAAGACCUAUGGUCGUCGGAUGUCUC